rnacentral:lncRNA from 1 species
CUGUUGAUAUCGUAAAAGACUUAUUCUCCUUUCUAAUCCUAUCCAAUAAAAAGUGGUGGAUUAAAACCAAUCCAGGCCUAGAGCCAAACAUAGAAUCUAUCCUGGAUACCUUGUUUCUCUGAGCAUCGCCUACUCCUUCGCUCCCACAUAGAAGCAUCUCUCUUCUCUACUCCUGAAUCUUUGAUCUGCCUCCCACCUGAAGUAGCCCAGGCAACCUAAGACCAUCCAGCGAGCACCCAAGUGGCACAAAGCAGCUGUAAAAUGCACCUCUACUGCUUCUGGAUACUCUCUGAUUUCAGCAUGAAAGAACUCACCCCGGCUAAAGAAAUAGCAUUCUCUCUCUUUUACUUCUGGCUCUGACCACUUCAAUUCAUACAGAAGAGCAAGGCUUGCUGCCUGCUUCCAGUCUGGGAUGCUUCCCGAGGCACCAGACUUUACUUGCACGAGUUAUGAGCCAAGAUGGAUUUUCACUCUCAGGCACAGCACCCUGCAGAUCCAGUUAGUCCGAGGGGCUGAUGAAACAGUAUUGAUGCUGCUUGAACUCAUGUUUAUAAACCCCAAACUGAACAAAAAGAUGAAAGAUCUACAUCAUGGAAAUGUGAAUCCGUUCCUGGGCCUCAUUGCCAUGGCGACAGAGCACUGUUCCUGAGGAAGCCUGGAAGACCUACUGAGAAAUGAGGGUGUGAAACUUGUCUGGCUGUUCAGAUCAUCUCUUCUGGUGGAUUUAAUUAAAGUAAAUCCAUUGUUCAUGCUAAGGCCACACCAUAUUUGCACCAAUUAAGCUAUGUUGUUUAGAGG